rnacentral:rRNA from 1 species
UACAGACGACUGCAAGCGUUUGAUUCGGAAGUUCACUGGGCGUGAAAGGGUGCGCAGGCGGUUGGGUGUGUCAGAUGUGAAAUCCCGAGGCUCAACCUCGGAACUGCGUCUGAAACUACUCGGACUAGGAAGUACUGGAGGAGGGUAACGGAAUUCACGGUGUAGCAGGUAGAAAUGCGUAGAUAUCGUGAGGAACACCAGGAGGC